rnacentral:rRNA from 1 species
UAGGGAAUCUUCCGCAAUGGACGCAAGUCUGACGGAGCAACGCCGCGUGAGUGAAGAAGGAUUUCGGUUCGUAAAACUCUGUUGUUAGAGAAGAACAGCGCAUAGAGUAACUGUUAUGCGUGUGACGGUAUCUAACCAGAAAGCCACGGCUAACUACGUUCCAGCAGCCGCGGUAAUACGUAGGUGGCAAGCGUUGUCCGGAUUUAUUGGGCGUAAAGCGAGCGCAGGCGGUCAAUUAAGUCUGAUGUGAAAGCCCCCGGCUCAACCGGGGAGGGUCAUUUGAAACUGGUUGACUUGAGUGCAGAAGAGGAGAGUGGAAUUCCAUGUGUAGCGGUGAAAUGCGUAGAUAUAUGGAGGAACACCAGUGGCGAAGGCGACUCUCUGGUCUGUAACUGACGCUGAGGUUCGAAAGCGUGGGUAGCAAACAGG